UUUUGUUUUUACGUUUCUUCCACUCGGUGCGUUUAAUCCGUUUGUUUAGUGUUGUGCAUGCAGGGACGCCGUAGUUUUAAAGGCAAACUUGUGUCCCCGUUGCAUAGUACGAGCGAAUGGAUUUUCAGGAAGAAUAUCUCCAAAGGAGUGUUCGCUAAGGACAGCGCUACUACCCUGCCAAUUCCAGCUCUGACUCUGAUCCUGACGUUCCAGAGCAGACUGUAGUAGAGGAGGCAGCCAGCUCUGACCAUACAAAGCAGACCACAGACACGGCAGAACACACAAAGGAGGAAGAGGUCAGCCCUGCCGAGUUCAGCGCUGCCAGCCCUGCUAAUUUCAGCACUGAGCAUAAUACAAAUGAGG
rnacentral:lncRNA from 1 species